UUUUUGUUAAAGUGUCGAGAGGACUACUUAUUUAAUGCGCAUCUUUAAAGAAAGAAUAUAUACAAUCAAAUUAAAUGAAAAUGUGUAACCGCUGUGGCAUAAACGACAUAAAGGCUAUAAAAAUACGAUUUAGAGAAAUAAUGAGUGAGCAAGUAAUGUGUGAGUGCGUGUUGAAAAACGGGUUACUCGCCGCACAGCUGAACACAUGGCGGCCGAGACAGAGGCAACAGAUGAACCUUUGAGAUAGUCAAAUAGAGCAGAAGUUGAAGCUGCUGAUUGUGUUUGAUGAUGAUGAAGGACGGACAGACACUCACAUAUGGAUACAAGUGCAUGCGAACAGACAUACACAUCUAUAUAUAUAGUACAAGUACAAUGAGUUAAUGAUUAUGUUGUUAGCAUUGAAGAAAUGCACGUGAAACUCGUCUGGACUGUGCACACGCUGAGGAGCUGAGGAGCUGAGGCGAACAAGUUGCUGGAAUGAUAAGUAUACUUGUUUAGGGAUAGAUGCAGUUGCGAGAGAAAUAAUAGCAACACUGCGAUAAUUAUUGUUGUCAGGAAAAAUAGGUAUAUGGGUAUAGAUACAGCUGUAAGAGAAAUAAUGGCGAUUAGUAUAUAUUAUAUAUACAUUUUUUUUUAUCAAUUAAUAUAAUGAAAAUAUUAACCAAAAUUUUAUGGAAAGUUUAACAGAAAAGCAGACUGUUUUUUGGGGUUUUUAAAUGAAAUGAUACCAAAUUUAAUAAAUUGAAAAUUAGUUAAACACAUGGAGUUUCAAGCGAGACGAGAGUUCAUAUUCUGAGCUAAGAGAGCAAUAAAUAUAUUUUAUUUAUUCAACUAAUCUAAAAUUGGACUUAAUACUAGCAAAAAGCCCUCGAAAAUAUGGUUUUAUCUGGACUAUAUAUAUUAACAGGUUCAUUAAGCCUUCCCCGAACAUCCAUAUUAUAUUGAGAUGAUGGCUCUCGCUUACAUGCCUGGGAUCCGCAAUUUUACGAAUGCCAGUAUCGGGUAUGUUCACUGAUAUUUUUUUACUUUGAGUCUUGCAACAAAACAAUAGCUUGAAGGAAAUGUUUACGAAGACAAGGGAAUAAGUACAGACAAUUUUUUUGUAACCUUAGUUAAGCUCGGUCAUCAUUAGACGUCAUAUUUGUAGUCUUUCAAUAGUCAUAUAAGAAUGUGUAAGAAUACUUAAAAGCUUGUCUUUAGAAAAUUCCUUCAAUAAGACGUUAGUUCUUGGUUAGAACUUGGUAAAAAACAACAAGCAAACAAAUACCAUCUAAUCAAAUUUUGUCAAAGAUGGCAGAAAAAAACUACAAAAUAUCAAGUACUUACGAGCACAUUUUUAUUUUUCAUGGUAAAAAUCGUCAGACAAACUUUCCACAUCGUAAACAAACAGCUGACGAACACACACUAAUUGAUAUUUGGAGAUCAUCAAAAUUUACACGAACACCAAUCUAGGAAAAAUUUUGUCGAUGUGGUUUGCAUGAACCAGUCCGGGUCAUUUUUGAUCAGAUGGUAUAUAAUAUGAAUUCAAUUUUUUUUUUUUAAAUCAUGAAAACGUAAAUUAAAUUAAAAAAGAUAAUAUAAAAUAAAUUUUCGUUUUAAGUUUUAUUAUUGUUAUUUACUUUUAAAAUAUACUUCACCCACUUGAAAGACUAAAUUUAUUUUCUCGCCACUGUUUACAACUGAAUAUGAGUAUAUAGUAAAAAAAAAAGGUUUCUGUUGUUUUUACCUUAGCUUGUUAUUUAUGCAGCAGUUUCAGGUAAAACUAAUGAACAAGUAAAAUGUGCGCCAGGAAACAUGAGUACAUUGGAGGCACCGAAUACCAUUGCAUACAAACAUACAUACAUGCAUAUGAACAUGCAGGAAUGUACCUAUGCUCAGCGUAGGCAGACGCCUAAAUAAGUAGGCAGAUUGACUGCCGCUCUAGCGGCUUUACGAUUAAAAAGGAAUAUUAGAAGAAAACUGGAUAUUUAAGUGAACGGAGGGCACGUAAAUGAAAGCGGCAUAUAGCGGAGGCAGGAACUUGAGAACCCAAGCAGAAGAAGCUAGCAAACUUCUUACCGUUGGUCUGGCGCAUUCUAAAACCGGUAACAAAACAAUUUGAGGGGAAAAAAAUGAAAAGCCAAGCAAGCAAAAUGUAAGG